GAUCCAUGGCUCAGGACGAACGCUGGCGGCGUGCUUAACACAUGCAAGUCGAGCGGAAAGGCCCUUCGGGGUACUCGAGCGGCGAACGGGUGAGUAACACGUGAGCAACCUGCCCCAGGCUUUGGGAUAACCCCGGGAAACCGGGGCUAAUACCGAAUAUGACCUGGCCUCGCAUGAGGCUGGGUGGAAAGUUUUUCGGCUUGGGAUGGGCUCGCGGCCUAUCAGCUUGUUGGUGGGGUGAUGGCCUACCAAGGCGACGACGGGUAGCCGGCCUGAGAGGGCGACCGGCCACACUGGGACUGAGACACGGCCCAGACUCCUACGGGAGGCAGCAGUGGGGAAUAUUGCACAAUGGGCGGAAGCCUGAUGCAGCGACGCCGCGUGAGGGAUGACGGCCUUCGGGUUGUAAACCUCUUUCAGCAGGGACGAAGCGUAA
rnacentral:rRNA from 1 species